CUCCCGGUAGCUCAGCAGGAUAGAGCACAGGUUUCCUAAACCUGGGGUCAUAGGUUCGAAUCCUAUCCGGGAGG
rnacentral:tRNA from 1 species